rnacentral:lncRNA from 1 species
UGGAAAUAGAAAAAGAUAGGUCAAAUUCUAUUUUGUUUUUGCAUCAGUCUCCAUAUAUAUCUAAAGUGUUGAAGAAAUUUAAUAUGAGUGAUUGCAAACGUGUUACGUUACCUCUUACUAAUCAUUUUGUUUUAUCUAAAGAACAAUCUCCUUAAAAUGAACGUGAAGUAGAACACAUGAGUAGAGCUCCGUAUUCAAAUGUGAUUGGUUCCAUAAUAUAUUUGAUGGUUUGCACUAGACCAGAUAUAGGUUUUGUCAUUAGUACUCUCAAUAGGUACAUGGCUAAUUCGGGUCCCUAAUAUUGGAAAGCAUUAAAGUUGCUAUUAAGGUACUUGAAGGGUACGAGUGACGUAGGUUUAAAGUUUAGUGCUAAUAAAGAAAGUGUGAAAUUGAAGUGUUUUGUAGAUGCUGAUUAUGCAGGAGAUAGGGAUGGUAGGAAAUCUACUCCCUCUUACUUGUUUACCUUAUCUAAUUCAUGUGUUAGUUGGAAAUCACAAUUACAACACAUUGUUGCAUUAUCUACUACGGAGUCCGAAUAUAUUACUACCACUAAAGCAAUUAAAGAAGCUCUAUGGCUUAGAAGUUUACGUCAUGAACUAUGUAUCUUGAAUGAUCAUGUGAUAGUGCAUUCUGAUAGUCAGUCAUCUAUUCAUUUAUGCAAGAACCAUGUUUUUCAAGAGCCCACUAAACACAUUGACGUUAGACUACACUUCAUUAGAGAUAUAGUAUCUCAAGAGGUGGUAAGACUUGAAAAGGUCCACACACAGUACAACCCUUGAGAUAUGGGCAUGAAACUACUGCCACUGGUAAAGUUUAGAAGUUGCAAAGAUCUUAUAAACAUUGGUACAGGUAAAUGAUUUUCAAUUUUAUUGGUUUUUUGUUAGAGGUGUCACUAACGGAAAACGUUUUCUUUUUGUAGGUCUUUUG